rnacentral:rRNA from 1 species
GCCAGACUCCUACGGGAGGCAGCAGUGGGGAAUAUUGCACAAUGGGGGAAACCCUGAUGCAGCAACGCCGCGUGAGUGAAGAAGUAUUUCGGUAUGUAAAGCUCUAUCAGCAGGGAAGAAAAUGACGGUACCUGAGUAAGAAGCCCCGGCUAACUACGUGCCAGCAGCCGCGGUAAUACGUAGGGGGCAAGCGUUAUCCGGAUUUACUGGGUGUAAAGGGAGCGUAGACGGCGAUACAAGUCUGAAGUGAAAGCCCGGGGCUCAACCCCGGGACUGCUUUGGAAACUGUGUUGCUGGAGUGCUGGAGAGGCAAGCGGAAUUCCUAGUGUAGCGGUGAAAUGCGUAGAUAUUAGGAAGAACACCAGUGGCGAAGGCGGCCUGCUGGACAGUAACUGACGUUGAGGCUCGAAAGCGUGGGGAGCAGACAGGAUUAGAUACCCGUGUAAC